GGUCAAGCUACAAAGAGCCUACGGUGGAUACCUAGGCACACAGAGGCGAUGAAGGACGUGGAUACCGACGAUACGCUUCGGGGAGCUGGAAACAAGCUUUGAUCCGGAGGUCUCCGAAUGGGGCAACCCAGUAACUCUAACGCCAAUCCAUAACGUUAGAGGGCGAACCUGGCGAACUGAAACAUCUUAGUAGCCAGAGGAAAAGAAAGAAAACUCGAUUCCCUUAGUAGCGGCGAGCGAAAGGGGAACAGCCUAAACCAACGGGCUUGCCCGUUGGGGUCGUGGGACAGCAACAUGGAAUUGGGCGGCUAGACGAAGUAGUGGAAUGCUACACCAGAGAAGGUGAAAGUCCUGUAGUCGAAAGCUUAACAAUCCUAGCUGUAUCCCGAGUAGUCCGGAGCACGUGGAAUUCCGGAUGAAUCUGCGAGGACCACCUCGUAAGGCUAAAUACUCCUGUGUGACCGAUAGCGCAUAGUACCGCGAGGGAAAGGUGAAAAGAACCCCGGAAGGGGAGUGAAAUAGAGCAUGAAACCGUAGGCUUACAAGCAGUCGAAGCUCGAUUUAACGAGUGACGGCGUGCCUGUUGAAGAAUGAGCCGGCGACUUAUAGGUACUGGCAGGUUAAGGCAAAAAUGCCGAAGCCAUAGCGAAAGCGAGUCUGAAUAGGGCGUUUGUCAGUACUUAUAGACCCGAACCCGGGUGAUCUAACCAUGGCCAGAAUGAAGCUUGGGUAACACCAAGUGGAGGUUCGCACCGACCGAUGUUGAAAAAUCGGCGGAUGAGCUGUGGUUAGGGGUGAAAUGCCAAUCGAACCCGGAGCUAGCUGGUUCUCCCCGAAAUAUGUUGAGGCAUAGCGGUUGUGAUUAUAGCAGGGGGGUAAAGCACUGAUUCGGUGCGGGCUGCGAGAGCGGUACCAAAUCGAGUCAAACUCUGAAUACCCUGUGUACACACAGCCAGUCAGACGGUGGGGGAUAAGCUUCAUCGUCGAGAGGGAAACAGCCCAGACCACCAGCUAAGGUCCCCAAAUCAUCACUAAGUGGCAAAGGAGGUGGGGAUGCUCAGACAACCAGGAGGUUUGCCUAGAAGCAGCCAUCCUUAAAAGAGUGCGUAAUAGCUCACUGGUCAAGCGUUCCUGCGCCGAAAAUGAACGGGACUAAGUGAUGUACCGAAGCUGUGGACUUACUACGUAAGUGGUAGGGGAGCGUUCUGCACUAGUUUGAAGCACUAGCGUAAGCAGGUGUGGACGAAGCAGAAGUGAGAAUGCCGGCUUGAGUAGCGAAAACAUUGGUGAGAAUCCAAUGCCCCGAAACCCCAAGGGUUCCUUCGGAAGGCUCGUCCGCGAAGGGUUAGUCGGGACCUAAGGCGAGGCCGAAAGGCGUAGUCGAUGGACAACUGGUCAAUAUUCCAGUACUCAUCUUGGUUUGUGCAGAGGGACGAAGAAGGCUAGAUCAGCCGGAUGUUGGUUACCGGUUCAACUGUCCGAGGUGUUGAGGAGCGGUGAAAACGCUCUGAGCUGAGGCAGGAGUACGACCCACUACGGUGGGGAAGUGAUUGAUGUCAUGCUUCCAAGAAAAGCUCUAAGCACGUUAAGCCAAGAUACCCGUACCCGAAACCGACACAGGUGGGGGGGUAGAGUAUACCAAGGGGCGCGAGAUAACUCUCUCUAAGGAACUCGGCAAAAUGGCCCCGUAACUUCGGGAGAAGGGGUGCCACCGAGAGGUGGUCGCAGUGAAGAGGCCCAGGCGACUGUUUACCAAAAACACAGGUCUCCGCUAAGUCGUAAGACGAUGUAUGGGGGCUGACGCCUGCCCAGUGCCGGAAGGUUAAGGAAGCCGGUCAGCGCAAGCGAAGCUGGCGACCGAAGCCCCGGUGAACGGCGGCCGUAACUAUAACGGUCCUAAGGUAGCGAAAUUCCUUGUCGGGUAAGUUCCGACCCGCACGAAAGGCGUAACGAUCUGGGCGCUGUCUCGGAGAGAGGCUCGGCGAAAUAGAAGUGUCUGUGAAGAUGCGGACUACCUGCACCCGGACAGAAAGACCCUAUGAAGCUUUACUGUAGCCUGGAAUUGGGUUCGGGCUUUGCUUGCGCAGGAUAGGUGGGAGACGUUGAAGUAUCCCUUGCGGGGGAUAUGGAGUCGCCAGUGAGAUACCACUCUGGCAAGGCUAGAAUUCUAACCUUCUGCUGUUAGCCAGCGAAGGAACAGUUUCAGGUGGGCAGUUUGACUGGGGCGGUCGCCUCCUAAAUGGUAACGGAGGCGCGCAAAGGUUCCCUCAGGCUGGUCGGAAAUCAGCCGUAGAGUGCAAAGGCAUAAGGGAGCUUGACUGCAAGACCUACAAGUCGAGCAGAGACGAAAGUCGGCCUUAGUGAUCCGACGGUUCCGCGUGGAAGGGCCGUCGCUCAACGGAUAAAAGUUACUCUAGGGAUAACAGGCUGAUCUCCCCCAAGAGUUCACAUCGACGGGGAGGUUUGGCACCUCGAUGUCGGCUCAUCGCAACCUGGGGCGGUAGUACGUCCCAAGGGUUGGGCUGUUCGCCCAUUAAAGCGGUACGUGAGCUGGGUUCAGAACGUAAAUCAUUGCGUCACUCCACAGUAAUGUGGAGCAGCAAACCGACUAAAAUCGGUAGAAUCUUAAUCAGUGACCGAACGGCUGGUUGAGACAAUACCGAGGGUAAGCAAGGGUCUCGUGACGGACAACUUAACGCUGAGUUACAUUGCUGGCUUUCUGGAUGCUGAUGGUUGUAUCAAUCUGCAACUAGUGCGACGCAAGGACUAUGUCCUUGGCUAUCAAAUUCGUGCUAGUAUCACCUUUUUUCAGCCUUCUUCUCAUCGUUCCUUCUUGGAGUGGUUAAAAUCAAUCUUCCAAGUAGGAUUCGUGAGGGAUCGAAAAGAUGGCGUGAGUGAAUAUGCCAUCGUUGAUACACCAUCUGUUUUAGACGUGCUGGUGACUCUACGCAGUUACCUGAAGAUAAAGAAGCCACAAUGUGAUUUAGCAAUUACUGUUCUACAGGAGGUGGUUCACUCAAGGCGAUUAACGCCUGAGCAGUUCCUGAAACUUGCUCAAAAAGUGGACCGCUUUGGUGAACUGAAUGCUUCUAGAAAGCGUUCUAUUCCUUCUGACCAAGUGGAGCAGUUCUUGAGAUCACGACAACUCUUGAUCCCGUAGAGACUGAAGCCUAGGCUUGAGUUAGCCAUCAAGCGUAAGCUGAGAUGCUCUGAGCUUGUCAGAGACAUCAAAUGUCGGCUCCUGAUUCGUCAAUGGCGAGAGUCAGGAUGAAGAUAUAGUCCAUGCUCGUAGUGAUACGAGAUCAACAUGCGUGAGACAGUUCGGUCCAUAUCCGGUGCAGGCGUAGGAGCAUUGAGAGGAGUCCUCCUUAGUACGAGAGGACCGGGAGGAACGCACCUCUGGUGUACCUGUUAUCGUGCCAACGGUAAACGCAGGGUAGCCAUGUGCGGAGUGGAUAACCGCUGAAAGCAUCUAAGUGGGAAGCCCACCUCAAGAUGAGUGCUCCCAUGGCAUAAGCCAGUAAGGUCACGGGUAGAACACCCGUUAAUAGGCUCCCGAUGGAAGUCCAGUAAUGGAUGAAGUCUAGGAGUACUAAUAGACCGAGGGCUUGACCUC
rfam:Thermosynechococcus elongatus BP-1 DNA, complete genome.